GCCGGGCCUGGUGGCUCGUGCCUGACAUCCCAGCGACUCAGGAGGCCGAGGCAGGAGGAUCUCGAGUUCCAAGCCAGCCUCAGCAAUUGCUGAGGCUGAGGCCCUGAGCAACUCAGGGAGACCUUGUCUCUA
rnacentral:sRNA from 1 species